UAAGAGGCAAAGACAGAAGUGUAAGGAAUCCAAGACCAUCUUGAGCUACACAGUGAGAACCUGACUCAAAGACAAGAAAAAGGAGGAAGAGGAGCAGGAGGAGGGAGGAGCAGCAGGAGGAGGGAAGAGCAGCAGGAGGAGGGGGGAGCAGCAGGAGGAGGGAGGAGCAGCAGGAGGAGGGAGGAGCAGCAGGAGGAGGGAGGAGCAGCAGGAGGAGGGAGGAGGAGGAGGGGG
rnacentral:lncRNA from 1 species